rnacentral:misc_RNA from 1 species
GAUGAAGAACGUAGCGAAAUGCGAUAAGUAAUGUGAAUUGCAGAAUCCAGUGAAUCAUCGAAUCUUUGAACGCACAUUGCGCCCGCCAGCAUUCUGGCGGGCAUGCCUGUUCGAGCGUCAUUUCAACCCUCGACCUCCCUUUGGGGAAGUCGGCGUUGGGGACCGACAGCACACCGCCGGCCCUGAAAUGGAGUGGCGGCCCGUCCGCGGCGACCUCUGCGUAGUAAACCAACUCGCACCGGAACCCCGACGUGGCCACGCCGUAAAACACCCAACUUCUGAACGUUGACCUCGAAUCAGGUAGGACUACCCGCUGAACUUAAGCAUAUCAAUAAGCGGAGGA